AGGAGAUCUAACACAGGACAGAGGCAGAGAGAAUCCCCAAGAUGAUGGAGGAAGAUCGCAGCAUGACAGCUGUGCUCCAGGGGACAGUUGUGAGGAUCGGAGCAGCGCAAUUCAAGAGACAGGACACACAUACAGCUUUGCCCACCAAUUUCCAAAGGUUUCCCAUCAGCAAUCAAGCAAGAUGGAGCCAGGCUGUGACUUAGAGACUGUUCAGAUUACCUGGGAGACUUCAUCAAAUAGAGACGAUUUUG
rnacentral:lncRNA from 1 species